CUUUACUCAACUAAUGUUUGACAUGGGUUGCGAAUCUCUAGUUUAGAAGUCUGUGAUGUAGACUAUAGAGCAUCUUGAUAAUCUCUGGAUUUUUCAUGGCGGCUGUUCGAAGGAUCUAAAUUCAUGGAGGUGAACGUUUCGUUUCUGGCAACGGGAAUCAGGAUAUCAGAAGUUUUUGAAAUGGUGCAUGAGCGCAAAGAGAAUAUAAUCACUACGUUUUACACGAGCGUAAGUUCCGUAUUUUCUAUGAGAACGUAUGGGGGCAGAGGAUGAGGCUGACCUGCGAGGCGAUGAAUGGAAAGGAUGCGUACUCCGCAUUGCCGGUGGUAAUGAGUAGAGUUUCCUCAUGAAACAGGAUGCCCUUACCAACAGCCGUGUUCGAUUAUUGACUUGAGACGGUGAAAGGAAAUGCAAGUCUGUCUGGGGCUGCAUUGUUGAUGCCUGAUGACCUCUCUGUGUUAGCCCUGGUUGAUGUCCUCAAAGGUGAACAGAGAGCUGACCUCGCUGACCGAGUCCGUCCACCCAUUCUAACUGCUGAACUUGACGCUCACAUAGUGAAUUCCUAUCAGCAGGAUUCCUUCACCAAAACGUCCAUAUUUGCGCUAUAACAUAGUUGCAGUAUGCAAGCCAUAAGGAAGCUGCAUCGUGCUGAAGUGCAACACGGACGGCCAGCUGUGUUAAGAUUAUUUUGGGAUCAGCACAAAAAGAGGCCAGGGUAGGCUACGCUCGCAAAUUUCGAGAUUUUGAUUUUUGAUACGCGAUUUUUUCUGACGAAAUGUAUCGAUCACGCGAACAAGGUCUUCGGAAUUUAUAAUAUAUAUGUACAAUAAUACCAGACAAACUAAGUAACAUCGAUCCAACUUUUAGUCCCAUUAUUGUUAAUAUGUGGGCGUGGAUGACCGCUUUUUGGGCCAGGGGCAAAUGGCGACUCACAAUAUUAUGUCAACUUGCUGGAGGAAGUCAUUCUGCCGACAGUGCGCAUUGUGUACCCACGGUAACAGGAUAAUUUCAGAGCAUUGUGUUGCGUUGUGCGCGUUUAAUUGGCUCCUUUAGUAAACCAAAGUAGACUACACCCUGGCCCUCUCAAUCCCCGGACUUAAAAUUUAUUUUUCUAUGGGAAAUAUAUGGGCCCAUAAUGGUUCAAAGAUGGGGCUUUGGGGACGAACGAACGAAAGCAGCGCCCGUAACCCAUAUUAAAAUUAGUUUUUUUAUUAAAAUAAUGAUGUGUUAUUUUUGAUUAAAUUGUUUUUAAAAUCA